GGAGACUGUUGGAGGUAUGCCCUAGAGGCAAUCAUAGAGAUGAUGAUAUUCCAUUUGUAUCCAUGAUUUGUAUGUUGUGUUCAUUGAAUAUCCAUUGAAGGCUACUUGAAUUGAUUUGCAAUUAUGUGAAUUGUAUGUGAAACUCUUUACUUGUAUGGUUAUUCUAAAGUUGUCCCUAGUCGGAGUUCAUGUGAGGACACACAUGAAUAUUAGACUAGCACAUGUAUUACUUGAUGACUAUGUUUCACAAGUCAUGGACAUGGAGAUGUUGAACUAAUAAUGUGGACACAUGUGGAGACAUGUGCUAGGACUGACCCAACACGAGAAGUAGUUCUCUUUUUAAAACAACAUAUACUCUUUG
rnacentral:lncRNA from 1 species